GGAGGCUUCCCCGCCUCCCUCACCGGGUCUCACCACAUAAAUAGAGGGCUGGGUGCUGCUGGCCAGCACUGAGGCUGCUGCUCAGGGUCUGCAACACCUCGCGCCCCAGCACCCAUCCCGUCUGUGCUGCAGCAUGACUCCUGCCAGUGCACUCUGCCUGUGGCUCGGCUGCCUCCUGCUUUGUGUCGCUGCCCCAACACCCAUCUGUGACACCAGCACCUGCUCCUCCUGCUCCGAGCCCACCCCUGGGGGCUGCUGCCCACCCUGUGCCCCUGCCUGUGCCUGCCCCCCCUACCUGCAGGAUGACUGCGAGAUGCAAGGCUUCACUGAUGGCCACGUUCCUGCCGGCCGCUCCUUCUACAUCGACUUUGCCCGCAAGCUGUGCACCUGCCAGCCUGGCGGGGACAUCACCUGCACCCCACACUGCACCCCUGUGCCCCCCACCUGCCAGGCCGUGGGCAGCCCGGUGGCUGACGGCUGUCCCCGCUGCGUCUGCUACGACAAGGAGGAGGUGGCAGUGCCCGCUGGCACCGUGGUCCCCCGGGGUGCCCGGCUCUGCACCUGCCCUCCUGAGGGGGGCCGGCUGCAGUGCGGCGAUGGGGGCGAGGAGUGAGAUGCCUGCUCUCCGCCAGCCAAGGGCAGGGGGAUGGGGAAGCCUCCCGGGGAGUGGGAGGCUUUCUGCUCCUUGGGGCAUCCCUGCUGGAAGGCGUUCAAUGCAUCAAACUGCCCUGGAGGGCCUGGCAGCCAGCAUGUCCCUGCCACUGGCUGCAGGGAGAUGCUGCCCUGUGCACCCUAUAUAAACCAGGGCGCAGUGCCUCUACCCGGGUGAUGUUUCCUUGUGGCUUGGUCUGCUCCACAUGGCUGGCAGAGUGGUUGGGGUGACUGCAGCCAGGACGCAACUGAAACAAAUUGCAGUUAUUUAUUUAUUUGUGAGAUGAUUGUGCUUUUUGUGUGUUCUUGUGCAUUUUUGUUUAUAUAGGGUCUUGAGUCAAUGUGCUGGAUAAACUUCCUUCCAGGAUCCGGCCUUUCCCUUUCUGUAACUCCAUCAAAGUGGUGGGACCACAAUCAUACGAUUUUUGAACUUCCCCUCACCCAGGCGUUCCUCCUCUUCCUCACACCAGAGUGAGGUUGUGGGCAAUAGGAAGGUUAGUGCGUGGCACUGUGCUUAGGAGGUGGCAAACCUCCGUCCUCCAGAGCAAAGACAUGAAAAGUCACCCUGAGGACGUCAGCAGCCAUUGAGCAAUCCUUUGCGGCCACCUCUGUGAAGCAGCUCCCUGGCUCUGAGCCCAUCACCAGUCUUGUCUCUGUCCUUGUUCAGAACAAAUACCCCAAACUGCAUCCUCCUCACUGGCGCUGUCUCCUUCCCAAUGCUGGAAACAGCAGAAAAGUGUUCUCUGAAUGCUUCGGAGUGUCUGCUUCGAUAUGUUUAUGUACAUACAUAUAUAUAUAUAUGCAGGAAAACUGUAAUCAAACGCAGCUUCAUCAGGCUGAGCCAUUAACAAAUGUCAGUUGUGUUUCUUCGAGGGUUGAAUAAAAACUAUUUCACCAACAAACUUGUGAAAGCUUUGUUGAUAAACACACGUAUACCGGCCUUAAGCAUUAGCUGAU